rnacentral:lncRNA from 1 species
AAGCCCCGCCCAGCGCAAGCGUUGCUUUUUAAAGGAUUUUCCGGAAGCCUUGGCGGGAACUUCCUGCCAAGCGUGAGAACGCUGCGAACUUCCCGGAGGCCAAAAGUUGAGGGGGCUGAGCGGAGCGUGAUUGGGGAGGGGCGGGCCUGGGAGACCUUGGGCGCCUCCUCUGAAAGCCUCUUGAUGAGGAAAUGAACUCAGAGAAGAUAAAUGAUUUGCCCAAAGUCACAUGAGACAGAAAUAUAACUUGAAAUCAAAUUUGUAAUUUUAAGUUCCUGAUGUUUUUACACUAUGCUCCCUAAGUGAAUCUGUGGACAUACAUUUCCAUUAGUAACCUUACUCAUCUUAUAGCUUUUGUCAUAGGAAGAAAAUCAGUUCCCAAACUGGGACCUUCUAUCACCUAGGGCAACAUUUUGCCUUUUGUAGUGUUUUCAGUAGAGUCAAAGUCUUGAACAGCCUCUUGAAUUCAUCUGAAAAGAUGUUACUUGGGGCUGGAGAGGACUACACCUGUAAGAGUAAUAAUUUCAAAAAUACCUAUAAAUAAAUCAAAUCUGGGUAUUCAGAAAUAAUACUUGUCAUUGUGCACCAUCUUGUGUUGCAAGGAUAUUUUAAGCACUGCAGGGAAAAUCUGAAGCAAGUUUUGGGUUAUCAGUUUUAUUGAUAAAUAUUUGCAGUUGUAGCAAGUGAAGAAUUAAAAAUUUUUGCAGAUUGGAUAUUGUUUUUGCAGGAGAACAAACCCAUUGGUCAGAAAUUUGAAGAUGGAAAACACAAAAAUACAUGUUUGAAAAAUAUACUUAGAAAAUUAUGGUUGUAAACUGUCAAUGUAAACAGAUAGGCGAAAAUAUUUUUUGGAAAUAUCUUUACCAUCUUUCAAAAUAAUUAGGCAAUGUGUCAAGAUCAAAGUAUUCAAAAUACAUGUUUGAUAGGCUUCUAUCUAUAGGCAUUUUCUGUCUAAGACUUAAAAAUAUUAUUAUUAUAAUUAUUAUUAUUAUUUUGAGAUGGAGUCACUCUGUUGCCAAGGCUGGAGUGCAGUGGCAUGAUAUCAGCUCACUGCGACCUCUGCCUCCUGGGUUCAAGCGAUUCUCCUGCCUCAGCCUCUCAAGUAGCCGGGAUUAAAGGCACCCACCACCAUGCCCGGCUAAUUUUGUAUUUUUACUAGAGUCGGGGUUUCACCAUGUUGGCCAGUCUGGUCUCAAACUCCUGAGCUCAAGUGAUCCGCCCUCUUUGGCUUCCCAAAGUGCUGGGAUUACAGGCUUGAGCCACUGUGCCUGGCCAAGAAAUUUUAGGUGGUUUUCAAAUACGUUUUAUUUUUG